CUGUCUUCUGCUUGCCGUACUGACCCCAGAGGAGUAUUAUCUUUCAAGACGACAUCUCUCUCUGUUAUGAGAGGAGCAGCUAUGAGUUUAACUGCAGCAGUGAGGGGAUUUGUUUUCUUCCUUCUCUCUGUAUCAGUGAUACAGGGUCAGGAUUACUGGGGAGUGACUUACACCUCUACUCAGAUCUGUGCCUUCAAGAGAUCAACCGUGGACAUACCGUGCACCUACAGA